GGGGGGGGGGGGCGGGGGGGGGGGGGCGGGCGGGUCGGGCGGCGGGGCGGGGGGGGUGGCGCGCGGGGGGGCGGGUGGCGGGCGGGUGAGGGCUGCAGCGGGAGCUGCCCAUUUGUGGGGGAUGACCUCGGGAAACCGGGACUAAUACCGCAUACGACCUACGGGUGAAAGCAGGGGCUCUUCGGACCCUGCGCCGAUGGAUGAGCCGAUGCCGGAUUAGCUAGUUGGAGGGGUAAAGGCCCACCAAGGCGACGAUCCGUAGCUGGUCUGAGAGGAUGAUCAGCCACACUGGGACUGAGACACGGCCCAGACUCCUACGGGAGGCAGCAGUGGGGAAUAUUGGACAAUGGGCGCAAGCCUGAUCCAGCCAUGCCGCGUGUGUGAAGAAGGCCUUCGGGUUGUAAAGCACUUUUGUUGGGAAAGAAAAGCAGCCGGUUAAUACCCGGUUGUCAUGACGGUACCCAAAGAAUAAGCACCGGCUAACUUCGUG
rnacentral:rRNA from 1 species